CACAACGUUGUAUUGAUGUAGGAAUUCAGGUUUAAAUGUUUUAAAUGGAAAAUGGAAUAUCAAACAAUGGGACCGCUUUUGUAAGAUAAGUUACCUCACUAUUUAUAUGCUUUUAUCAGACUGAGUGCAGAUACGUACGAAAGUAUGUACGUCGUAAAUAUAAGUGCUUUGAAAACGAAACAGCACGUCUAGUUAUAUUAUUGACAUAUUGGUUCACCGAAACUGUUAUCGUUUGCAGCAAGAUACUUGUACGAUGUUUAAAAAUCAAUACUGAACGUUGAAUACAGUUUGAGAGUGAUGUUGCGUUGUAAAUAAGCUGGCAUUCCUGCAAACGCGCUCAUGUAGGAAAGCUGUACUGUAUGCGAGAGUCGAAAUAAAUGACUGUAAACUGAUAAAUUCAAACACACAUAAACCCAGGUACAUCAUCAUCCUUCCGUUCUAUCGGAUCACCUGUGAAGAAGGAUUUCAGAACGCUCAACAUUUUACGCAGAAUAUAAGAGGAGUAGCAUCCGACAAAAAUAACGAGAAUACUUACGUUGUGUUCGUUUCUUGGAAUGUUUCAUAAUUGAUAAUUGUUGUGUCAUUGGAACAAAAAACAACGAGCAUUUCAAGAUGUGUAUUAAUUCCCGACGUACACUGUUGGUAGUCGAAUAAACGUUUAGAAGUUUACUAAGGAAGGGUAUUAAAAGUGUGUCUGAACUGACUGUAAGUCAUAUUUUUUAAAAAUGGAUUCGGAAGAAGAAAGGGAUAACAUAAUUCAUCAAACCAAAAAUAAAAAAUCAGUGCAAAUUGUGGAUGAUAGACCGGAAAUAGUUGAAGUGCAUGAAAAACAUGGACCGCUUUAUAAAGCGAUUCCAAAAAUGCCGGUGCCACUUGCAAUUCUCUGCUGCAUUCUUAACAUAGGACUUCCGGGGGUCGGAACAUUGGUAUCUGCAUUCACAGUGUUAUGCGGUGCACCGACAAUGUUAAACAAACCCGGGCCAGCGUUCUUGUUCAAUCUGCUGUCAGCAUUCCUCCAACUUGUCACUUUCUUUGUCAUCGUCGGAUGGGUGUGGUCAAUUCUCUGGGGAAUGAACAUGGUCACAUUAGCCAUGAACUGGGGGGAAGAGAAGAGAACACCUUAUUACUGUCGUCGACAGAGCAGCGUCGAUGUGCCGUGAUCACGUAUUAUAUAAACACAAACUAACGUUCUUUGAAUUUCCUAAAUCUCCAUAUCUUAUUUCCUGUCUGAUAUGGCGUUUUUCUUCUGUUGUUGCUCUGAGCUGGUUCUUCAACAAAUGCAAAUGAACAGAUUCAGACGCAGUGAUACAAAUAUAAGUGCGUUGUUAACGAUGUAUAGUCUGAUCAUUAUGCGUGUAGCUUUAUAUUUGCCAGACAACUGUAAUUCAACAAUUAUGGAAUGUUUGUAGUGGAGGCAAAUAGUAAGACAUAAUGACGGACUUUAAUUUAAGACUCAAAGUGGUGUUGAUACAACACAGCCCAUAUGAUUGAUAUACUAUAUAUGUUUAGAAUAUAUUUCUUAAAGCAAUUAUAAGAUGACGUGUCUAAAAAUAUUUAGCGAGUAAUAUAUUUUAGUUCUCAAUAGCUCAACUCUAGCGUGAACGUUUUUAUUUAUCAAAUAUUUUUACGAUACAGACCUUCUACAGUGUGAAUUAACAUUGAUCUUUAAAAUACGUAUUUAAUAAAUUCCUAACAUAUUAAUAAUAUGAUGUGUAAAUCUUACAUUUGACAAGAGUGUCCAAAAUAAAAGUAAAUCUCAAAAUCUGUAACAAUAUUUCUUCAUACUAUUAACCAAACUGAAAUUGUUAAAAAGAAUGGAACGUUUCAAGCUAUUUUAUUGGAAAAAUCGUUUAAAUUUCAGCCUUUAGAGAGGGCAUGCACGCAUGCAUUCGACAAACAUUUGCACAUCGUAAAGCUAAAACCAACACAUAUACAAAUAUCCUUUUUCUAUAGAAAUAAGUUACAAGAAAGAAUAAAGGUAUUGCAAAUCAUGAAAACAUGUGCACCAUGAUUGAGUGUAGUAUUUUCAAAUUGCACACUGGAUUAUUUUGGUGGAAAUGUGCGUAACUAGUCAACAAACGUAUUUAUUGCGUUGGCAAUUUCAGCUGAGAGAUUACCAAUUAACACAGCUUUGACUGCACAAAACGUAUUUGUAACUUUUUCAGCAUUAUGCACAUGCCAUUUCUUGUAUACUGUAUUUAGAACAUGUAACCUUAAGAUGUCGUAACAUCCAAAUAGCUUUAAUACGUCUAGCUUUUUUGGAUGGUAACGUGGUUUUAAUGACUUGCCAUGUUAAUUAUAUUGGCGUAUUUCUUGUAAGUAUAUUGUGUGUACUCUGUUCUAUGUUCAAUAAAAUAUUUCAGAAGAGAAA